GCUGCAUUAGUAACUAUCUCUUCAAUGCAUAUUCAGUUACCAGUCUCCCUCUAUAAUCAGCAGCAGCUUUUUUUUUUUUUUUUGGCGUUCUCGUAGACUAAGAACUGCAGUCGUUAAAAAUGCACUUUUGAUAUACACAUGCUGUGAAUGAAAAUGCAUAAUUUCAAGUAUAGGCAGUCACUGCUGUCCCUUCAUCAGCCCUUCUGUCUCAGAUCUCCAAUGCAGCAAAAUUCCUGGUGCUUCUGAACAUUUUGAAUGCCUUGCAGUUGGUAUGACAAAAAUGUGCAUUUGAAAGGAUAUAAAGAGAUGAGUGACUGUUUAAAAUGGGGCAUUAGCAUGACAGUUGACAAAGGCAUGGUAUAUUGUUGGAUCCCACUGGUUUCUAAUGCUCGUUAAUGAGAACAAGUAUUCCUUGAUCAGAGUCAGAGAUAGUUGCCUCAAAUAUUCUUCACAUAGACAUUGGAUGUAUUUCACAUUUUGAAAACAUUGUAUAUAUGUUCAUAUAGGUUUUGCUUCAGAAUAUUUUUGGUUGUUUUCUUUGGUGAUUGACAAGUGACCUGAACCUUUUCCUGUACUUUUGUUAUGUUUACUUGAUUUCCCCCGCCUCCCUUCCCUGUAGGUGCAGUAAUAAUGCUCUGGCAUGCAUGUGCAAUCCUGUACAGCCUGAGAUCUCCAGUAAAGAGCCUGACCUUGAGUAGUGCUGAGCAUCAGCAAUGCCAUUUAGGUCAAAUUACUUUAUCUGGGCUCUGAGCAAACUUAGCUGCUCCGGGAAGCUCUCAGCAACUUGAAAGAUUAGGUUCUAUGUGCAGUCUCUUGGCCAAAAUUGCAGAUUUUAGCCAUAAUCCCUGACCAAAUCUCACUGAUAUGGGCCCAACUCUCCCACACAAUUGUACAGAUUUUGAGGCAAAAUCUGCACAGAUGUUGUCAAUGGUCCCAGCUGAUUUCUAUUACCCCAGAUCAUAUGCAGAUACUUUAUGAGAGAAAGAUAGCACAGGAAAAUCUUGCCAAAUUACAGUAAGUGUAGCAUAAUACUAGGUCCUGUUUACACAAUAGCUAUGUCUUUGCUAGUAUUUGUCUUCAAACUUCUUACCAUACACUACCACUGGUAGAAGACAACCAGUAGUGUUAACAGUAGGAGCUCUAGUAUAGACAAACAGUAGGAACAAUAGUGUAGAUUGGCUGCUGGCAUUAAAACUCCAGAGGCCACCAGAAAUUUGUCUACACUUAUCUGUUCUCAAUAUUGCUAUCAGCAGUGGCAUCAGCAUGAGAACAAGGCUGGGAAAUUUGCAGGGAAAUGUUAGUGUAAACAUGGUUGCAGUGGUGCAAGCAAGAAGCUGUUUCGAUAUAUGCAUGGACCAGAUUUUCAGCUGUUGCAAAUCAGCGUAGUGCCAUUGACUUCAGUGGAGCUACACUAAUUUAUAGCAGCUGUGAAUCUAACUCAGGGUUCUAGCAUGUUUAGAGAGAGUUUUUUUUCUUGUGAACAUAAACCUCUGUCUGUUGUUGGGAGCCCCAAUCCUGCAAUGUUGGGCAGACUCCCAUUGCAUUGAGCCCUACUGAAGACAGUGGGGUUACGUGCAACUGGAGAGAUCCUCCUACUGGGAGUUCCGGGACUGAGGCUUAGCAUGAUUCAACAGGGUGAUCUCCACUCACAUAAAUAAUACUUCAGGAUUGGGCCCAUAGGGUUUUGCUGCAAAUAUGGUAAGUAUAUGUGCUGCCGAAGCAAGCACAACAUACAAACCUUUAAAAUGGUAACUAGCAGAUAUUGUAUAGGCCUACAUUCUGCCCUCAGGCUACUCAUGUUAGGCUGUUAUUCAGAACAAUCCAUAGGCAGAAUUUGCCUUCAUUUAGCCUUUUCUGUUAAUGAGCCUAUUUUAAAUGGACACCCAUGUCAAAUAUUAUCCCAGAUUCAGGUUUUUCUUAAGAUAGGUUUUCUCCAAAACCUAUCAACACUGGAAAAAAUAUUUCCAUGAUUUAAAAAAAAAAAAGGAAAAAUAAGAAAUGUUUUCAAAUAAGACCUUGACGCGUUACGCUAAUACAUGAGAACCAGAAAAUUGAAACUUAUGCUAGGGAUUAUAUAUUUUUGACUAUAUACAAAGAUGAAGGUGCCAAAUUUUCCUGUCUAACUGCCGAUAAAUAAAAAUAAAUAAACAAACAGCAUGUACGGUGAGUGAGGUAAUAUAUUGAACCAAUUUAUGAAGAUCUUGUCUGAACCUUCUUGUCUGAA